UAGGGAAUCUUCCACAAUGGACGCAAGUCUGAUGGAGCAACGCCGCGUGAGUGAAGAAGGUUUUCGGACCGUAAAGCUCUGUUGUUGGUGAAGAAGGAUAGAGGUAGUAACUGGCCUUUAUUUGACGGUAAUCAACCAGAAAGUCACGGCUAACUACGUGCCAGCAGCCGCGGUAAUACGUAGGUGGCAAGCGUUGUCCGGAUUUAUUGGGCGUAAAGCGAGCGCAGGCGGAAGAAUAAGUCUGAUGUGAAAGCCCUCGGCUUAACCGAGGAAUUGCAUCGGAAACUGUUUUCUUGAGUGCAGAAGAGGAGAGUAGAACUCCAUGUGUAGCGGUGGAAUGCGUAGAUAUAUGGAAGAAUACCAGUGGCGAAGGCGGCUCUCUGGUCUGCAACUGACGCUGAGGCUCGAAAGCAUGGGUAGCGAACAGGAUUAGAUACCCUGGUAG
rnacentral:rRNA from 1 species